UACGGGAGGCAGCAGUGGGGAAUAUUGCACAAUGGGCGCAAGCCUGAUGCAGCCAUGCCGCGUGUAUGAAAAAGGCCUUCGGGUUGUAAAGUACUUUCAGUCGUGAGGAAGGUGUUAAGGUUAAUAACCUUAGCAAUUGACGUUAGCGACAGAAGAAGCACCGGCUAACUCCGUGCCAGCAGCCGCGGUAAUACGGAGGGUGCGAGCGUUAAUCGGAAUUACUGGGCGUAAAGGGCACGCAGGCGGUUAAUUAAGUUGGAUGUGAAUCCCCGGGCUUAACCUGGGAAUGGCAUUCAAGACUGGUUAGCUAGAGUCUUGUAGAGGGGGUAGAAUUCCAUGUGUAGCGGUGAAAUGCGUAGAGAUGUGGAGGAUACCGGUGGCGAAGGCGGCCCCUGGACAAAGACUGACGCUCAUGUGCGAAAGCGUGGGGAGCGAAAC
rnacentral:rRNA from 1 species